UACGUAGGGGGCAAGCGUUGUCCGGAUUUAUUGGGCGUAAAGAGCGUGUAGGCGGCCAUACAGGUCCGUUGUGAAAACUGGAGGCUUAACCUCCAGACGUCGAUGGAAACCGUAUGGCUAGAGUCCGGAAGAGGAGAGUGGAAUUCCUGGUGUAGCGGUGAAAUGCGCAGAUAUCAGGAGGAACACCGGUGGCGAAGGCAGCUUCCUGGCCCACAACUGACGCUGAGGUGCGAAAGCGUGGGGAGCGAACGGG
rnacentral:rRNA from 1 species